rnacentral:misc_RNA from 1 species
GAUGAAGAACGUAGCGAAAUGCGAUACGUAAUGUGAAUUGCAGAUUUCAGUGAAUCAUCGAAUCUUUGAACGCACAUUGCGCCCGCUAGUAUUCUGGCGGGCAUGCCUGUUCGAGCGUCAUUUCAACCAUCAAGCCCUAGGCUUGCGUUGGAGCCCUGCGGCUGCCGCGGGCUCCCAAAUCCAGUGGCGGGCUCGUCGUCGUACCGAGUGCAGUAAACAUCCUCGCUCAGGGAACGUGACGGGUUCUUGCCGUGAAACCCCCCACAUAUCAAGGUUGACCUCGGAUCAGGUAGGAAUACCCGCUGAACUUAAGCAUAUCAAUAAGCGGAGGA